GAUGGUUUGGCCGAGUCUAAGGCGCCAGAUUUAGGCUCUGGUCCGAAAGGGCGUGGGUUCAAAUCCCACAAUGUUUA
rnacentral:tRNA from 1 species